rnacentral:rRNA from 1 species
CGGACGGGUGAGUAAUGUCUGGGAAACUGCCUGAUGGAGGGGGACAACUACUGGAAACGGUAGCUAAUACCGCAUAACGUCGCAAGACCAAAGAGGGGACCUUAGGGCCUCUUGCCAUCGGAUGUGCCCAGAUGGGAUUAGCUAGUAGGUGGGGUAACGGCUCACCUAGGCGACGAUCCCUAGCUGGUCUGAGAGGAUGACCAGCCACACUGGAACUGAGACACGGUCCAG